rnacentral:rRNA from 1 species
UACGUAGGCAGCAAGCGUUGUUCGGAGUUACUGGGCGUAAAGGGCCAGUAGGCGCCCAACUAAGUCACACGUGAAAUCCCCAGGCUUAACCUGGGAACUGCGUGUGAUACUGGAUGGCUUGAAUUCGGGAGAGGGAUGCAGAAUUCCAGGUGUAGCGGUGAAAUGCGUAGAUAUCAGGAAGAACACCCGUGGCGAAGGCGGCUCUCUGGGACGGUACUGACGCUGAGACGCGAAAGCGUGGGGAGCGAACAGG